AUAGACAGGAGUGGUCCUGGAUCCAGAACUCCAGAACUGAGACCACCAUCAGCUCCCCUGCCUCUGGGCUGAUCAUUCUUACCCUGACUCCCUCCCACUGUGGUGAGCAGGUGGCUGUUGAGUCUCCUAGAGAUAUCCCUCGAGCUGCCUGUGGAGAGAAAAGAGAAUAUUUUGUUUUCAAACUUUACAGAAAAGGUCUAGAAUUCCCCCUGUAUUCAUUUUGGUCACCAAUCCAUCCCUGAAGCAAUGCCUACGGCCAAGAAGAAGGGACCACAAUGCGAAUGCAGGCCUGACUGAGAUGCUCAGGCAUUUUUCUAGGAAGGAUGAGGAUUUUUCUAAGGAAGGGACAAGGAGUGAAUUUUCUUGGUAUGUCCUUCACAUCAGCAAAUCUCUAAUCAGAUCUUCAUAUAGAAUUUAUCAUUCCACAGGUGACCUGUGACCAAGAUGCAACCAGGAGAUUCCUGGAUGAUGAGGUCGAGUUGGGUCAGUCAAAUUCUUUUUCUCAUCGGUGCAAGAUUCUAAAUCAAAGCGUUGCAUAUGGCAAGACAUUUCAACUUUUUAAAUAGCAAACCAAGCAAUCAAAAACUCAUAUCCACAUUUUCAAAACAGCUUAUAGCAUAAAAUCUAUGUCAUUAGUGGAUUUGUGAGAGUUUUUUUUUUUUACCUAUGAUAAAAGAAAAACUUCAACCAAAUUAAAUUUAAAGGAGUAUAAUUGAGCAAAGAACGAUUCGCGAAUAAGGCAGCUCCCAGAAUCACAGCAGAUUCAGAGAGACUCCAGCACAGCCACGUGGUGGAAGGAGAUUUUAGACAAAAAAAAGAGAAAUGAUGUACAUAAAUUAGAAGUGAGGUACAGAACAGCUAGAUUGGUUACAGUUUGGCAUUUGCCUUAUUUGAACACGGUUUGAACACUCAGAAGUGUAUGAGUGGUUGAAUUAUGGCUGCUGGGACUGGCCAAGUCUUAGCGAUUGUUACAGGGACAUGCUCCUAAGUUAGAUUUUCUUUUCUUUUUUUUUUUUUAAAUUUCAUUCAGUUUUAUUUUUAUGAUUUUUGCUAUAUUAAUUCUUACCAAUUUUAAACCAACAUUUUUAACCUAAAUCAAUUCAUUUUACAUUAUUUUCAACUUAAACUGCUUAUACUUACAUUUUCCAAUACAUUAAAAUAUAAAAUUAUUACAAAUGUUCACCCAUGUAAGAUCUAAAAUUAUCUCAAGUUCCAGGAGUGGUAGUGGGCUUACACUUUGAAAAACAUGACUAGAUGCAAAAUUUGAGUAUUCGUCUUGACGGCUUAAAAACAUAUUAAACAUACGCUGGGCACAGUGGCUCACACCUGUAAUCCCGGCACUCUGGGAGGCUGAGGCGGGUGGAUCACGGGGUCAAGAGAUUGACACCAUCCUGGCCAACAUGGUGAGACCCCAUCUCCACUAAAAAUAUAAAAAUUAGCUGGGCGUGGUGGCAUGCACCUACAGUCCCAGCUACUCAGGAGGCUGGGGCAGGAGAAUCACUUGAACUGGAGUUAAGAUUUUCAGUCUUGUCUACCUAUUAAGCUAGGUUGCAGGUCGUCCACAAGGACUCAAAUAUAGAAGCACAGAGUCCUUCCCAAGCCAUAUUUAGUUCCUUUAACACUUACAUAGAAUGGACUAAAGGGUUUGUGUUGUGUGGUGUGUGUGUGUGUGUGUGUGUGUGUGUAUGUGAUAAAUAACUUUGUGUAGCAAAUAUUGGCUUUUAAAAAAUUACUUUAAAGACUUUCACUCUUUUCUGACAAAGCGAUCUGUGUUGAAGCUCUUCCUGGAGGGUUUAACGCAUCUGGUGCCACCACACACCAAGAUAGAGGGAGAUUAUUUUCCACAGUUAUUUGUGUAAAGAAGAUCUUAGGGUGGUAGGUGGUUUAUACAAGAUUUGAAUAUGGACAGGUUUUCUUUGGUUAUUUAAAAAAGAAAACAUACACAAAGAAUCUGUGUAAUUGAGGAGUUAUCAGGUAAGUCAUUUUACGUUGGGGCUAUGAGUCUUUGUGAGGAUCUAAGUGAAUAUUAACCAAGUGGAACCUUACAGAGUCAGGUGUUUCAGAGAAAAAACUUUUGAUCCUGCACAAUGUUAAAAUAUCAAUGCUGUUUUUAUUACAAUCUAUUAACAAGAGCAGCCAAAAAAUGACGCCAGAUCUCUCCCAUACAGGAGAUAAUAUCUUUUUUUUUCUUUUUCAGAAAUAGUCAAUGGCAUUUUAAAGAAAGAUGAAGGGAUCAAGGCUGAGGUACAUUCAAACCCAGUUAUAACAUGAUCUCCAGGAACUGCACAGGAGGAAGCUGUCUCCACCAGGAGCUGGAUCAGAUGCUGCUCGCUGUCUACCUAUUGUUGACGUCCUCCUUCCCACGUGGAUGCAACGUGAGCAGUCAGAAAGUCAAACUUCACGGAACGACAGAGGUGCCAAAACGGCAACUCCACCACCUGUCCGAAGAUCUAAGAGAACACCAGCUGUCUGACAGUGGCUUGAACAUUAUACAUUCAGCUUUUCACUUACAAAUAUAGCUGUGAAUUCACAGGGAGUAAUCCUACGUGCUGGAUCUCAUUCUCAAGUGGGAAAAUUCUAUAGAAAAACUGAUGUCAAAUUAGCCAUUUGUGGUGGUUGCUGAAGAAGACACACCAAGUCAGAUGCUCCUGACUAAGCAAGGCGAUACCCUCCAACUGAGCAUGGAAGCCCUACUGCAAUAGGAGGGCCUUCAUCAUCCACACUGGUUAGCACUUGCCACUUCUUGCUGCCAUUGCCUCUCAUACAAGAAAGUCAAGCCAGUGU
ensembl:lncRNA novel transcript